rnacentral:rRNA from 1 species
UACGUAGGUGGCAAGCGUUGUCCGGAUUUACUGGGCGUAAAGAGCGCGCAGGCGGUCGUUCAAGUCGCGUGUGAAAGCCCCCGGCUCAACUGGGGAGGGUCACGCGAUACUGAUCGACUCGAAGGCAGGAGAGGGUAGUGGAAUUCCCGGUGUAGUGGUGAAAUUCGUAGAUAUCGGGAGGAACACCGGUGGCGAAGGCGGCCUUCUGGACAAUGACUGACGCUGAGACGCGAAAGCGUGGGGAGCAAACAGG